rnacentral:rRNA from 1 species
UUUCUGUGAAUGGCUCCUUACAUCAGCAGUCAUCUCUGUGAUACAGUGCGGUUGGCCCGCCGGCCAGGAGGUCCCCUUGGAUAUCCUCCAAAACCUAGUGGCUAAUACACGGUCGAACAAGUCUGCUACGGCACGGUCCCGCCAGGCCUUUCAACGCCUGCCCGACAGGCAGUGGAUUGCACCCAGCCGCACCUGAAGACCAGCGCCUGGGAUUACUGGCAGCGUGUCGUGGUUGACUCAGGCUGGUCCCUUGCGGACAUCCGCGUUGGCAGAGUGGUGGGCCUCGGUCCACAGCAUUGCUUGAUCACACGAGCUUCUGACCUAUCAGCCUCGAUGGUGGCGUAUGGGACCACCAUGGCAGUGACGGGUAACGGAGAAUCAGGGUUCGAUUCCGGAGAGGGAGCCUGAGAGACGGCUACCACUGCUAAGGCGGGCAGCAGGCACGCAAAUUGCCCCAUGCUGAUGCAUGUCUGGUGAGGCAGCGACGAACUGCAGCAACUCCACCUGUCCUCAGUGACCGGUGGAGCUUGUAAUGGAUGCAAUCCAAACACAGUGAUGAGUAUCGACUGGAGGGCAAGUCUGGUGCCAGCAGCUGCGGUAAUUCCAGCUCCAAGGGCGUAUACUAACAUUGCUGUUGUUAAAACACUUGUAGUCCGAUGCUGGGUUGCAGGUCUGUUGGGUGGCAGCCGUGGUGGGCGUUACGCCUCUCUGCUCCGCGUCUUCGGGCGUGGGGUUGUGGGGGAUGGCGUCCAUCUCGCUGGUACAACCCCCGACAGUAUGUUCCUGCACCCGUUCUCUGGCAUAUGACGGUGCGAAUGGCUCCUGCUCCAAGUCUCCUUCAGUGGGGAUCGAUGCGGUUGUAUACCCAACGCCUGUGUGUUGACGCCACGAGGGGCAUGGCCCCAGUGCCAUGCAGCUUCUCUCAGUCCACCACCGGAGUCCACUGUCUCAGACACCGUGGAAAACUCAGUGUGCCCCAAGCGUCCCUCUCGGCUGGAUGACCGUCCAUGGAAUGUCAAAGCAUCGACCGUAUGUGGCUAUGAAGUUGUGCUGGCCUUGGUGCCCGUGACGGGGAACCUGGUACGGUCCCCAGUGGCGAAAGAGCAUUGCUGCCGUCUGGCUGGCGGUGCCCCCUGCGUCGCUGGUGGGUCGCUACCGAUCGUCCACGAUGGGACAUCUCGGGGUGAAAGAUACUGCAACGCCAGAGGUGAAAUUCUUAGAUCGCUGCAAGAUCAACAGCAGCGAAGGCGUUCUGCAAGUGCUUGUUCGUCGAUCAAGAAUGUGAGUGUGGGGAGCGAAGAUGAUCAGACACCGUCGUAGUCCACAACUGUAAACCAUGCCAGCUCGGCGUUGUUGGGGCAAGUCCACGGACCCCAUCAGCGCCAUGCCCCCUGCAACGAGAAAUCCAAGCCUGUGGGUUCAAGGGGGAGUACUGUCGCAAGGCUGAAACUUAAAGGAAUUGACGGAAUGGCACCACAAGGCGUGGAGUAUGCGGCUUAAUUUGACUCAACACGGGGAAUGUUACCAGGUCCGGACGUUGCUGGGAUGGACAGAUUGAGAGCUCUUUCUUGAUCCUUCGGAUGGUGGUGCAUGGCCGCUCCUGAUUGGUGGAGUGAUUUGUCUGGUUGAUUCCGAUAACGAGUGAGACAUCUGCCUCCCAAUAGCCCCUGCCUCGCACUUGUAGGGUGGCCGUGACGCGCCACCGAGGGGUUCGCCCCGAGAUUGGCCGUGACGGUCCGCCCGAGAGGUCCUGGGUCCAGCUUCUCUGAGGUGCUGUGUACGCUACCAAGUGCCCGCAUGCUAGAGCCAACAGCAGGUCUGUGAUGCUCCCAGAUGUCCUGGGCCGCACGCGCACUACAUUGGCCUGGUGAAUGUGCCGAGUCCUCCCCCGUUGGAGACCUGCCCGGAAGUGGGUGGGGAACCAUCGGAGCCCAAGUUAUGGCCGUACUGGGGAUAGAUGAUUGCAACUGUCUGCCUUGAACGAGGAAUGCCUAGUAGGCGUGGGUCAUCAGCCCACNCCGAUUGUGUCCCUGCCAUUUGUACACACCGCCCGUCGUUG